GUCGCUGGUUCGAUUCCGGCUCGAAGGAGUAGCCUGUCUU
rnacentral:piRNA from 1 species